GCAGGUCGUAUUCUAGUCCAUUUCCUAGUAAGAACGUCGUAAGAAUGAACUGAAUUGGUGACUCCGGCCAAUCUGAUGCCGGGGGCAGACGAAGAGCCGCCGCUCUCAAUGGCAGUAGUGCCUCCGAAGAGAAUCAAGCGAGGACCAUGAGCGUUGGUGGCAGCAACAGCCGUUAAGGUAUGGGAGCAUCGGUAACCAGGAGCAUCUUCAUCGGUAUCCCAGUACGUCUCCAAAGGACGAUAUGAGGGAGCCGGGUGUAGCCACGGCUUCGAAGCCAUUGCAGAGAGAAGGCAAGCUCACCAGGAUUAAAGAUCACGAAAUCUGAAAAUAGUAAUAAACAGAAUACGGAACCCUAAGAUCGGAGAACCACGGUGGCGGAUUUCGUGAUGGUGGUGGGGCGGCCCGGGUUAAAAGCUCCGGACCAUUUUCCCUUACUUUUUUUCGAAUUAAUAUAACAUAAUAUNNNNNAAUAUAUUCACUCACAUAUGAUAGUAAUAAUAAUAAUAAUAAUAGAAUUUAAAAAGGAAUAUUGGGUUGGAGAUGGAGAAACAAAAACGGCACACCCGCGAGAUGAAA
rnacentral:misc_RNA from 1 species